AUUGAACGCUGGCGGCAGGCCUAACACAUGCAAGUCGAACGGAGUGGCGGACGGGUGAGUAAUGUCUGGGAAACUGCCCGAUGGAGGGGGAUAACUACUGGAAACGGUCGCUAAUACCGCAUACUAUCAGAUGAGCCUAGGUCGGAUUAGCUAGUUGGUGGGGUAAAGGCCUACCAAGGCGACGAUCCCUAACUGGUCUGAGAGGAUGAUCAGUCACACGGGAACUGAGACACGGUCCAGACUCCUACGGGAGUCAGCAUUGGGUAAUAUUGGACAAUGGGCGAAAGCCUGAUGCAGCCAUGCCGCGUGUGUGAAGAAGGUCUUCGGAUUGUAAAGCACUUUAAGUUGGGAGGCGUUACCAACAGAAUAAGCACCGGCUAACUUCGUGCCAGCCGCCGCGGUAAUAC
rnacentral:rRNA from 1 species